UACGUAGGGUCCGAGCGUUGUUCGGAAUUACUGGGCGUAAAGAGCUCGUAGGUGGUUUGUCGCGUUGUCCGUGAAAACUCACAGCUUAACUGUGGGCGUGCGGGCGAUACGGGCAGACUGGAGUACUGCAGGGGAGACUGGAAUUCCUGGUGUAGCGGUGGAAUGCGCAGAUAUCAGGAGGAACACCGGUGGCGAAGGCGGGUCUCUGGGCAGUAACUGACGCUGAGGAGCGAAAGCGUGGGGAGCGAACAGG
rnacentral:rRNA from 1 species